CCUUGCAAAUAUAGGUCCCAAGAGAGCAUCACAUCUUCCCUGUGAUGGAGGGCUGGAAGGAGUUCUGGAGAAAUGUGAAUUCCUGGCGUGACUAACGGCGGGAGCGGCCUCUUGGCUUUCCUGAACGUGAACCUUCUCCAAGAUGCGAGGGACAGCACCCCACACUUUACGGAACCAGACAGAGCCAAGUUGUCUCCGGAUGGUUCGGGGGCUGAAGAAGAGGCAGCAAUCAAGUAAAAUUGCACAUCAGACUUUCUGGGGCCCCUGCCCUCUCUUCCAGGAGACUGCCCACGACGAACCAUGUCUGCAGAGGAAAACGUGACGAGCCUCUUCUAGGCCACGUGGAAAGAGCACAUGGCCUUCUCUCCUGGGUUGCUGUGCACCAGGCCACUCUCACCAACAGGUCAGAUGGCGGCUACCCGGCAACAGAGGAACUGAGUUCCCACCUUGCUUUCCCUCUUCAUUUAUUCAGGACUAUCUUCAUGACUGGUCUCUCAUCAGAUCAGAUUUGGGCUGGGAAACAGGUGUAUGGAGUCCAGGGUGACUCAGGAGUCAGUGAGUGCUUGGGCCGCACGGGGCUGGCCGUGGCAGGGGAUGUGGUACUUACUGGUCCAGAGACCUAAGGCUUGAUGAUGCAGCUGAUGGUUUCUGCUUCCCAAGCUGUUGGGCUGAACGAGACAAAAUCUCCGUGUUUAUUUAAUACAAUUACAGCUGUUACAACUUGUGGGUUUGUAAAACCCCGAAUGUAAUCAUGCGACACCUCUGAACGUCCUACUCAAACUGAGAAACCCAGCGCUCCCAUGGAGCUUUGGCGACAACCCUCCCAAGCUGGCGAGAAGUGUCCAGAGCUUAGCAGGUGUUAGGUGAGAAUGAAGGGUGGGGAGCGGUGUAAAAGUUGGGGGAGAAGAGAAAAGAACACCCUAGAGCAGUAUCUGCUGUCUUUGGCAUUCUAGAAUUGGCCCUUGUCAGAUGUGGCCCCGGUGACCUGAGUGUCACUAACUGUGAACUUGGGUCAGUUUUGUCAUCUGUGGAAGACUAGAGGACCCCUAGCCCCUUUCAGUUCUAACCCUCUUACUGCUUCUUCCCCGCAGUGAUGCUGGGCCCCCAGCCCUCUCUGGGAGAUUGUGGGUGCUCCUGAGGAUGGGGGCCUGGAACCACCAUCCCCAAGCCAAAUGGCCCCUUCCUCUGACCUGAAAUGUCUGUGUGUGAGUAUGUGCAGACCCUCAGGAUCUCUGGGGCCGCCGGUCACAUAUGCAGAGUGCCCAGGGAGCCUGCAGCUUGGCCUGUGAGCUGGCAGUUAUAAAGUCCCAACCAAGGCCCCCAGAGACCGUAGGUAUCCUCUUCUGGAGAGGGAACUGUCCAAGAAGAUGGCUGAGCACCAUCUCAUGGUUCUUGAUCUCCCACCCAAGACGAAGUUCUCAGGCUCAGUGAGGUGGUGACUGGGA